rnacentral:rRNA from 1 species
UACGUAGGGUGCGAGCGUUAAUCGGAAUUACUGGGCGUAAAGCGUGCGCAGGCGGUUCGUCAUGUCCGAUGUGAAAGCCCCGGGCUCAACCUGGGAAUGGCAUUGGAAACUGGCGGACUAGAGUGUGGCAGAGGGGGGUGGAAUUCCGCGUGUAGCAGUGAAAUGCGUAGAGAUGCGGAGGAACACCGAUGGCGAAGGCAGCCCCCUGGGCUAACACUGACGCUCAGGCACGAAAGCGUGGGGAGCAAACAGG